ACUGAGCCCCUUCACCUCAGCGUGGGGCCAUUGGGAUGUUGGAUGAUCCAUUUCUACUGUUUAUAAAACCAAAAAAGCAGGCGUUGGUCCACAAUGUCAGGUCAAAUUGAAACCGUUGAGGAUCUGUACUGCUUUGCGACACUAGGUGGCAGUAGAGCGCUGUGAAGGAACACCACAGACCUAUGGAGCAGGAGUGACCUAACACCACUCUCUCUGUGUUUUCAUGAAUGGCAGCGGAGAGGUGGAGUCAACACGUCGGUCCAAAACUCUCCUGCAGGGGACCAGUCGAUCUGAGGCCCGCUGUGUGUAGGGCUCAGUUUCUUAUUGAUCUGUCCAAACAACAUGGUCAGGGUCAAAGUCAUUAUCUUAUAAAGCUUCUGCAUUCAUGUAA